GGCGCCCGCGAGGGCUGAAAAGGGAAUGCGGUGCGGGUUCGCCCAAUACCGCAGCUGCCCCCGCAACUGUAAGCGGCGAGCCGACAGCCGACAUGCCACUGCGGAUUCCGCGGGAAGGCGGUUGGAGGCAACGACCCGCGAGCCAGGAGACCUGCCAUCAGUCG
rnacentral:ncRNA from 1 species